AUGGUCUCACCCCUGACCUCAUCAUCCACCCACCUGCCUCCCAAAGUGCUGCGACACGGCUGUGAGCCACCACUGGCCACACAUGUUUAUGGCCAUGUCGAAGGACGCCGUGAAUCUGGUGCAGGUGCAGGAGCUGACUUUGCAGCCGGAGCAACAGUCCAAGCUCAAACAACUUGUCAAUGAGGAGAACUUACGGAAGCAGGAGGAGUUCGUGCCAGAAACAC
rnacentral:lncRNA from 1 species